UCAUUGGGUUAUGUAGCCCACCCCUUUGGGGGAAUUUCAAAUUUUUUUAUCAUUAAUUAAAUACUUAGUGAGUUUACUAAGCAUGGGAAAUAUAGGAUGGCCCUAAGAAGGGGCAUAAAUAUAUUUAAUCUUCUAAGAAAUGAUAAAAGUAAAGUCCCAGAGAACAAGAGGUCAGGAGUGUACACUAUCCCCCUAUACAACCUGGAUGAGAACAAACAACAGUACUAUGUAGGAAGCACGAGCAAAAGCCUCGAAAAAAGACUAAGGAAACAUAAAGCUGAUAUAACUGCAGCUAGACAGACUACCGCAUUGGCACAUAAGGCCUAUGAACAAGUAAUCACCAUUGGCUGGGCAGAAGCAACC
rnacentral:lncRNA from 1 species